AUAUAUAUAUAUAUAUAUAUAUAUAUGAGUUGAGCUACGAUACUUUUACAAGUAUCACCAUCAUGGUGCUAUUAAGUUUUAAACCAUUGGAUCUACUUUUUGAUUAUUAAUAGUCCUUGGAUUAAACACUAUUCCACCUACCACCACCUACCACCAUCAUCUCAACCUCACAUCUCUCCAUCCAAGGGCUAAAAACACACAAGUAUCACCCCCAUGAUACUUUUACAAGUAUUCUAGCCCUACUCAUAUAUAUAUAUAU
rnacentral:lncRNA from 1 species